rnacentral:ncRNA from 1 species
UUGUCAUACGAAGCGCCAGAACUGAGCGGCUGUUUCUGAUGGUUUAAGUUUCUGCGAAUCCGGUCCUUCCAGUCUCGGGUACUGCCGGGAUCCGUACAUUUUUUUCUUGGACAGCGCGGAAAGCAAAAGCAUAUCAGGGGGCGGCUCAGUUGACGAGGUGAAGGUGUUCGAAGGAUUCGGCGGGGGCCUUCCGGUGAUGAUCCAUACCGUAAGUCGAAAUGCAAAACGUCCGGGCGACCGGGCGGACAAGAGUUCGACGGGAUCAAGA